rnacentral:rRNA from 1 species
GACGAACGCUGGCGGCGUGCUUAACACAUGCAAGUCGAACGGAAAGGCCUUUUCGGAGGUACUCGAGUGGCGAACGGGUGAGUAACACGUGGGUGAUCUGCCCUGCACUCUGGGAUAAGCCUGGGAAACUGGGUCUAAUACCGGAUAGGACCGCACUUUAGUGUGUGUGGUGGAAAGUUUUUUCGGUGUAGGAUGAGCCCGCGGCCUAUCAGCUUGUUGGUGGGGUAAUGGCCUACCAAGGCGGCGACGGGUAGCCGGACUGAGAGGUUGGUCGGCCACAUUGGGACUGAGAUACGGCCCAGACUCCUACGGGAGGCAGCAGUGGGGAAUAUUGCACAAUGGGCGCAAGCCUGAUGCAGCGACGCCGCGUGGGGGAUGACGGCCUUCGGGUUGUAAACUCCUUUCGCCAGGGACGAAGCGUUUUGUGACGGUACCUGGAGAAGAAGCACCGGCUAACUACAUG